AGGACUGUAGUUAAAUAUAACAUUUGAUUUGCAUUCAAAAAGUAUUGAAUUUAUUUCAAUCUGUCUUA
rnacentral:tRNA from 1 species